GCGCCAGUAGCUCAGUGGAUAGAGCGCUGCCCUCCGGAGGCAGAAGUCGGGGGUUCGAAUCCCUCCUGGCGCG
rnacentral:tRNA from 1 species